CAGCAGCCACGGGAAUACAGAGGGUGCGAGCGUUAAUCGGAUUUACUGGGCGUAAAGCGUGCGUAGGCGGCUUCUUAAGUCGGAUGUGAAAUCCCUGAGCUUAACUUAGGAAUUGCAUUCGAUACUGGGAAGCUAGAGUAUGGGAGAGGAUGGUAGAAUUCCAGGUGUAGCGGUGAAAUGCGUAGAGAUCUGGAGGAAUACCGAUGGCGAAGGCAGCCAUCUGGCCUAAUACUGGACGCUGAGGUGCGAAAGCGUGGGGAGCAAACAGGAUUAGAUACCCCAGUAGUCCCUGUCUCUUAUA
rnacentral:rRNA from 1 species